GAGAUAACUAAAUACAUAUAAACUUAAUAAUCCAGCCAACCUAUGUAUUGUCUGUGCAGUGGCAUUAUGAGGAUACAUUGUCCAAAUUUUACCAGAUACCCAUAAAAAACUAAACAUACAUCAGUCCCAACUACCAUAACAAAACAGUAUGCUACUAAUAUACACAAAACAAGUAACAAGCCCCCGCAUCUAAUAGGGUAUAUCGGUAAGACGAACUUGGUGAUAAUCCCCCGCGGCAAGCAGACCAAGCUUUGUGCUCUUUACACUAUCUAUUACUCAGAUAUCGCCAUGCGAGUGAUUGGGUACUUCUCCUUGAUUGUCCAGCGGCAUGUACUGUGCCAUGAUUGCACGGAUCUCCGAGUCCAUGUAACUCCUGAUUCGGUACUUGUAGACUGCAUAACCACUGAUGCCAGCAACAGCGAGACCAAGGAAGAUAAUCCAAAGAAAGUUCCAGCCAACCUCUGUCGUUGGUUUUUUACUGAUGCAUAUAUCGUGCUCUUUCAUGUAUAAUAAAUCACCCGAACAGCUGCAAUCAUAACUUCCCCACGUGUUUUUGCACUUGCACUGAGAACACUGACAAGCAACUUUUUCUUUGCACUCAUCAACAUCUUCACAUGAGUUGACCCCAUCACCCUUGAAACCUGGUGGGCAUUUGCAUCCCUUGGAUUGGUCAUCCACACAGGCAGAGUAUCUCUUGCCUUCGUGAGUUUUAGUCCAGCACCCACCAUUGUUAACUUCACACCUUCCAUAUCCAGAAGCUUCACAUUUGGUAUACCCAUCACCAAGAAACUUCACACCUUGCACAAUGGGGCACUCACAUAUUCUUCCACGAAAAGUGUCCUUGCAAGCAGAAAUAUUGGCCGCCUUAUCUUGCCAGCACCCACCAUUGUUUUCCAAGCAUUCAUUUGUUUCUACAUCUUCACUCAAACAAACAGCAGGCUCAGUGGUCUCUUGAAAGCCCGCACAAAUAGCUUUAAGGACUGCACUUUUGUCCAAUUUACCUCUGUAUUGCCUAUUGUUGAUGACAAGUGUCGGUAAGAUAGUAACAUCCCCACGAGCAUCUUUACCAAUCUGUGCAUCUUGCUCAGCUUUAAGCACUGGAUUCUCUUUAUCUGCCUCUGGAUCUCCAACACAAUCAUUUACCUUCCGCAGAUCUACUCCCAAUGAUCUGAUCACUUCUUCGGCACAUUCCUUGGUGUAUUUCUUUUCCUUCAUUGGGCAUCUAAUUGCAAAGUCGGUCAC
rnacentral:misc_RNA from 1 species